ensembl:lncRNA
CCAAAGGGAAGGCAUGGCAGGAGAAUCCACUUGCCGAGGCCUAGAGACUGCAAUCAAAACAGAGAAAAAGCAAAGAAAGUCUGGCCAUCCGGAGAACUGCCACUGCCAUCCAAGAGGCUGGAGACCACAGAGGCUACAGACAGGAUGCUCUUCCUUCUCCCGCUUGGCAGUGGACCCAGGACAUCUGCUUUGGCUGAGGACCAAGCUGGCUCAGUGCUGAGGACUGGGGUCGUUCCUUCUGCUCCCACUUCUCUCUGGUUGCAUUCUUCUUGUUAAUGGGUUUGUACUCAAUCAACCUCUGGUCUGCAGUUCUUUAGACCUAACUGGUUUAGGAAAAAGUAUCUAUAAGAUUACUAGAGUUCCUUGUUUUGGAGUUUGAGGCAAAACCUGCAGCUGAUAAUAUAUUGUUUUGUUAUAUUUGCUGCAUUUUGUCAGGCAUUUCCCCAUAUUUAUCUCUCUCUUUCUCUGAGAUCUCAAAGGGAGGGAGGUUGAUUGGCAGAGCAGGAUUAAG